rnacentral:rRNA from 1 species
AGUCGAACGAAGUAGCAAUACUUAGUGGCAGACGGGUGAGUAACAUGUAGGUAUCUACCCUAUGGUGAAGAAUAACACGAGGAAACUUGUGCUAAUACUUCAUAAGUCUUUACGGAGAAAGCUUUAUGCGCCAUUGGAUGAGCCUGCACUUGAUUAGUUUGUUGGUGGGGUAAAAGCCUACCAAGACUAUGAUCAAUAGCUGAUUUGAGAGGAUGAUCAGCCACAUUGGGACUGAGACACGGCCCAAACUCCUACGGGAGGCAGCAGUAGGGAAUCUUGCACAAUGGGGGAAACCCUGAUGCAGCGAUGCCGCGUGAGUGAAGAAGGCCCUUGGGUUGUAAAGCUCUUUCGUCGGGGAAGAAAAUGACUGUACCCGAAUAAGAAGGUCCGGCUAACUUCGUGCCAGCAGCCGCGGUAAUACGAAGGGACCUAGCGUAGUUCGGAAUUACUGGGCUUAAAGAGUUCGUAGGUUGUUAAAAAAGUUGGUGGUGAAAUCCCAGAGCUUAACUCUGGAACUGCCAUCAAAACUUUUUAGCUAGAGUAUGAUAGAGGAAAGCAGAAUUUCUAGUGUAGAGGUGAAAUUCGUAGAUAUUAGAAAGAAUACCAAUUGCGAAGGCAGCUUUCUGGAUCAUUACUGACACUGAGGAACGAAAGCAUGGGUAGCGAAGAGGAUUAGAUACCCUCGUAGUCCAUGCCGUAAACGAUGUGUGUUAGACGUUGGAAAUUUUUUUUCAGUGUCGCAGCGAAAGCAAUAAACACACCGCCUGGGGAGUACGACCGCAAGGUUAAAACUCAAAUGAAUUGACGGGGACCCGCACAAGUAGUGGAGCAUGUGGUUUAAUUCGAAGAUACGCGCAGAACCUUACCAACACUUGACAUGUUCGUCGCGACUUUAAGAGAUUAAAGUUUUCGGUUCGGCCGGACGAAACAC